rnacentral:tRNA from 1 species
AGACGCUACGGACUUAAAUUUUGAGCCUUAGUAGAGAAAUUUAUUAAGUGACUGUUUUCACAUUCAGGAAAACCUAAGGUUUGAGAUAUGAGGCAAUCCUGAGCCAAAUUUUAGUUAUGAAAUAGGUGCAGAGACUCAAAGGAAACUAUCCUAACGAAAAAGUUUUUCUCUUAGACGAGGAUAAAGAUAGAGUCCUUUUUUACAACCUAUGUAAUUUUUAUUUAUAGGAUAAUUGUAAAAAGAAAAUCCGUUGGCUUUUAAUAGACCUUGAGGGUUCAAGUCCCUCUACCCCCA